GAAGCCAUGUCCGCCACUUCCA
rnacentral:siRNA from 1 species